rnacentral:tRNA from 1 species
GCCCGGUUCGUCUAGCGGUCUAGGACAUCUGGUUUUCAGCCAGAGAAUCAGGGGUUCGAUUCCCCUACCGGGUA